CUCAGGACGAACGCUGGCGGCGUGCUUAACACAUGCAAGUCGAACGAUGAAGCCUUUCGGGGUGGAUUAGUGGCGAACGGGUGAGUAACACGUGGGCAAUCUGCCCUUCACUCUGGGACAAGCCCUGGAAACGGGGUCUAAUACCGGAUAACACUCUGUCCCGCAUGGGACGGGGUUAAAAGCUCCGGCGGUGAAGGAUGAGCCCGCGGCCUAUCAGCUUGUUGGUGGGGUGAUGGCCUACCAAGGCGACGACGGGUAGCCGGCCUGAGAGGGCGACCGGCCACACUGGGACUGAGACACGGCCCAGACUCCUACGGGAGGCAGCAGUGGGGAAUAUUGCACAAUGGGCGAAAGCCUGAUGCAGCGACGCCGCGUGAGGGAUGACGGCCUUCGGGUUGUAAACCUCUUUCAGCAGGGAAGAAGCGAGAGUGACGGUACCUGCAGAAGAAGCGCCGGCUAACUACGUGCCAGCAGCCGCGGUAAUACGUAGGGCGCAAGCGUUGUCCGGAAUUAUUGGGCGUAAAGAGCUCGUAGGCGGCUUGUUGCGUCGGUUGUGAAAGCCCGGGGCUUAACCCCGGGUCUGCAGUCGAUACGGGCAGGCUAGAGUGUGGUAGGGGAGAUCGGAAUUCCUGGUGUAGCGGUGAAAUGCGCAGAUAUCAGGAGGAACACCGGUGGCGAAGGCGGAUCUCUGGGCCAUUACUGACGCUGAGGAGCGAAAGCGUGGGGAGCGAACAGGAUUAGAUACCCUGGUAGUCCACGCCGUAAACGUUGGGAACUAGGUGUUGGCGACAUUCCACGUCGUCGGUGCCGCAGCUAACGCAUUAAGUUCCCCG
rnacentral:rRNA from 1 species